UAGAGGCUGAAAACCAAAACGCUUCACUUCCUGCGUCCUUUGUAGCUGGGGGUGGUCAUGCGCCAGUGGGAAGUGGGGGUGUGUGGAGUCCUUCCUUGAUUAAAAAGGCAAAACCUCGCUGGACGAUUUUCUUUCAUUGCCUCUCUCUUUGUGCUGAUUGAUUUUAUAGUUCAGCUCGGCCAGGCUCUGGUAACUAGCUAUUCAAACAUUUGUCCAGGUGAUUGUUGCCAUGGAGGUGUUUUGGAGAUAUGAUGGAAGUCCAUAAUCAGCUGAUUUUUAGUAAAGGAGAUUAUCCUCCACCAUGCGGGUGGGCCUCAUGCAAUCAGUUGAAGACCUUAAGAGCAAAACUGAGGUUUCCUUGAGGAAGAAGAAAUUCCACACGAGGAGAGCAGCUUCAGCUCGGGCCUGAGCAUUUCCAGACUGCUGGCUUGCCCUACAAAUUUCGGACUCGGCCAGCCAGACUCAGAAUUGCAUAAGCCACUUCCUUAGAAGGGGACAUGAGCUAUGAAGAUGCCUCUGCACCUUGCUGCCACGUAAGUGACAAACCUGUGGACAUUGAUGUUAAGCCUGGCGGAGCAGGAAGUUUUGCAGGGAGCAAGGGUCUGUGAUUGCUUCACUGUGCUCGCCUACCAGCUGGGACGGUCUCCCUCUGGGCAUCUUAAUAUAUCUGAAAUCAGAAUGCGCCUUCCGAUAAAUGACAUCUUACAACUAAUCGGCAGGGUUGUUUCUAUACUUUCUUUUCCCCCCUUUGGAAGUCCUUAAAUGACGACACAUCUUACAAUGA